rnacentral:rRNA from 1 species
GACGAACGCUGGCGGCGUGCUUAACACAUGCAAGUCGAACGGAAAGGCCCUGCUUGCAGGGUACUCGAGUGGCGAACGGGUGAGUAACACGUGGGUGAUCUGCCCUGCACUUCGGGAUAAGCCUGGGAAACUGGGUCUAAUACCGGAUAGGAGCCAUUUUUAGUGUGAUGGUUGGAAAGUUUUUUUGGUGUAGGAUGAGCUCGCGGCCUAUCAGCUUGUUGGUGGGGUAAUGGCCUACCAAGGCGGCGACGGGUAGCCGGCCUGAGAGGGUGGACGGCCACAUUGGGACUGAGAUACGGCCCAGACUCCUACGGGAGGCAGCAGUGGGGAAUAUUGCACAAUGGGCGCAAGCCUGAUGCAGCGACGCCGCGUGGGGGAUGACGGCCUUCGGGUUGUAAACUCCUUUCGCUAGGGACGAAGCUUUUUGUGACGGUACCUAGAGAAGAAGCACCGGCUAACUACGUG